rnacentral:rRNA from 1 species
AGCUCCAAUAGCGUAUAUUAAAGUUGCUGCAGUUAAAAAGCUCGUAGUUGCAUUUCCGAGGCAAGGGAUUAGUCCGACCUUUGGUGGGUAUUUAAUCCUCUUGCCUCGUCCUUGAGUGGUGCUUCUUGGUAUUAAGUUAUCGAGGAGAUAGCCGCUCAUCGUUUACUGUGAGAAAAUUAGAGUGUUCAAAGCAGGCUUAUGCCGUUGAAUAUAUUAGCAUGGAAUAAUAAGAUAGGACCUCGGUACUAUUUUGUUGGUUUGAGAACCAAGGUAAUGAUGAAUAGGGACAGUUGGGGGUAUUCGUAUUCAGUUGUCAGAGGUGAAAUUCUUAGAUUUACGGAAGACAAACUACUGCGAAAGCAUUUGCCAAGAAUGUUUUCA